rnacentral:rRNA from 1 species
UUGCUCCUUUGACGUUAGCGGCGGACGGGUGAGUAACACGUGGAUAACCUACCUAUAAGACUGGGAUAACUUCGGGAAACCGGAGCUAAUACCGGAUAAGAUUUUGAACCGCAUGGUUCAAUAGUGAAAGACGGCCUUGCUGUCACUUAUAGAUGGAUCCGCGCCGUAUUAGCUAGUUGGUAAGGUAACGGCUUACCAAGGCAACGAUACGUAGCCGACCUGAGAGGGUGAUCGGCCACACUGGAACUGAGACACGGUCCAGACUCCUACGGGAGGCAGCAGUAGGGAAUCUUCCGCAAUGGGCGAAAGCCUGACGGAGCAACGCCGCGUGAGUGAUGAAGGUCUUCGGAUCGUAAAACUCUGUUAUCAGGGAAGAACAAACGUGUAAGUAACUGUGCACGUCUUGACGGUACCUGAUCAGAAAGCCACGGCUAACUACGUGCCAGCAGCCGCGGUAAUACGUAGGUGGCAAGCGUUAUCCGGAAUUAUUGGGCGUAAAGCGCGCGUAGGCGGUUUUUUAAGUCUGAUGUGAAAGCCCACGGCUCAACCGUGGAGGGUCAUUGGAAACUGGAAAACUUGAGUGCAGAAGAGGAAAGUGGAAUUCCAUGUGUAGCGGUGAAAUGCGCAGAGAUAUGGAGGAACACCAGUGGCGAAGGCGACUUUCUGGUCUGUAACUGACGCUGAUGUGCGAAAGCGUGGGGAUCAAACAGGAUUAGAUACCCUGGAGUCCACGCCGUAAACGAUGAGUGCUAAGUGUUGGGGGUUUCCGCCCCUUAGCUGCAGCUAACGCAUUAAGCACUCCGCCUGGGGAGUACGACGCAAGGGUUGAAACUCAAAGGAAUUGACGGGGACCCGCACAGCGGGAGCAUGU